rnacentral:rRNA from 1 species
UUUAAAUUUAGAGUUUGAUCCUGGCUCAGGACGAACGCUGGCGGCGUGCUUAACACAUGCAAGUCGAGCGAUGAAGCUUCCUUCGGGAAGUGGAUUAGCGGCGGACGGGUGAGUAACACGUGGGUAACCUACCUCAAAGUGGGGGAUAGCCUUCCGAAAGGAAGAUUAAUACCGCAUAAUAUGAGAGAAUCGCAUGAUUUUUUUAUCAAAGAUUUAU